rnacentral:rRNA from 1 species
UACGAAGGGGGCUAGCGUUGCUCGGAAUCACUGGGCGUAAAGGGCGCGUAGGCGGCCAAGUAAGUUGGGGGUGAAAGCCCGUGGCUCAACCACGGAAUUGCCUUCGAUACUGCUUGGCUUGAGACCGGAAGAGGAGAGUGGAACUGCGAGUGUAGAGGUGAAAUUCGUAGAUAUUCGCAAGAACACCAGUGGCGAAGGCGGCUCACUGGCCCGAUACUGACGCUGAGGCACGAAAGCGUGGGGAGCAAACAGG